CACGAGAGGAGCACGAGCCCCAGCCAGAGACUGUUCUGGACGGCGCGGCGGAUGCCAUACACGAAGUACAGCACCCGCUUCCGGAGCAGGAAGUUGCGCUCGAUAAAGAAGAUCGCAAUCCGGAUCACCCAGCCGGAUACGAGCCUGCCGCAGAUAAGGACCAGCGUCAGCACCUCCCAUUUCCACACACGUAGGCUCCAGAUAGUGAAGCGCCUCGCAGGGGUGUAAGCAAGCGUGCAGGCGAGCCCAGCGAGGAUGAGGACGAGGAUGGCCCACUGGAGG
rnacentral:misc_RNA from 1 species